rnacentral:rRNA from 1 species
CCUACGGGUGGCAGCAGUCGAGAAUCAUUCACAAUGGGGGAAACCCUGAUGGUGCGACGCCGCGUGGGGGAAUGAAGGUCUUCGGAUUGUAAACCCCUGUCAUGUGGGAGCAAAUUAAAAAGAUAGUACCACAAGAGGAAGAGACGGCUAACUCUGUGCCAGCAGCCGCGGUAAUACAGAGGUCUCAAGCGUUGUUCGGAAUCACUGGGCGUAAGGCGUGCGUAGGCUGUUUCGUAAGUCGUGUGUGAAAGGCGCGGGCUCAACCCGCGGACGGCACAUGAUACUGCGAGACUAGAGUAAUGGAGGGGGAACCGGAAUUCUCGGUGUAGCAGUGAAAUGCGUAGAUAUCGAGAGGAACACUCGUGGCGAAGGCGGGUUCCUGGACAUUAACUGACGCUGAGGCACGAAGGCCAGGGGAGCGAAAGGGAUUAGAUACCACUGUAGUC